rnacentral:rRNA from 1 species
CCUACGGGUGGCUGCAGUAAGGAAUAUUGGUCAAUGGAGGAAACUCUGAACCAGCCAUCCCGCGUGAAGGAUGAAGGGGCUCUGCCUUGUAAACUUCUUUUGUCUGGGGCGAAAAAGCUCGAUUUAUCGAGAACUGACGGUACCAGAAGAAUAAGCACCGGCUAACUCCGUUCCAGCAGCCGCGGUAAUAUGGAGGGUGCACGCGUUAUCCGGAUUCAAGGGUUCUAACGGGUCUUUAGGAGUCAGUGGUGAAAGGCUGUGGCUUAACCAUGGAAUUGCCAUUGAUACUGCAGAGCUUGAAUGAGGUUGAGGUUGGCGGAAUGUGACAUGUAGCGGUGAAAUGCUUAGAUAUGUCAUGGAACACCGAUUGCGAAGGCAGCUGACUGGACCUAUAUUGACGCUGAGGCACGAAAGCGUGGGGAGCGAACAGGAUUAGAUACCCGGGUAGUC